rnacentral:sRNA from 1 species
UUAACACUGUAUUUUAGCUCAGGCAGUUCCGGCGAGGGGGGAGCCUCAGCAGGAUUGCUGUGUGAAAACCGAGCUGCUGGGAGAAG